GGUACCUUGACAGUGAGAAUCGACCACAGAUGAGAGCGCGGGUUCGAGAGGGUCACAUGUUCGAGAGGGGGACGGUUCGAGAGGGGUUCAGUGACGGUGACGACUCUGAGGGUUCGAGAGGGGGACGGUGACGGUCACAGGUUCGGCGGCAAUGAUGAGAAACAGUGAGAGAAGGGUUCAAAACAUAGGAGAAGGGUUCAAAACAGGAGAAGGGUUCGAUCUGAUUGUUUUUU
rnacentral:lncRNA from 1 species